GUCCCUAUGGGUCUCUAUAGGGUCUCUAUGGGUCUCCAUGGGUCCCAGUGGCUUUUUAAGGGAUCUAUGGGUCUCUAUGGGUCCCUCUGGCUCCCUAUGGUUCUCUAUGGGUCCCUAUGGGUCCCUGUGGGUCCCUAUGGGUCUCUAUGGGUCUCUAUGGAGUCCCUAUGGGUCUCUGUGGGUCCCUAUGGGUCUCUAUGGGUCCCUAUGAGUCCCUAUGUGUUCCUGUGGGUCCCUAUGGGUCCCCAUGCAUCUCUAUGAUCUCCGUGCAUCUCUAUGGUCUCCCCGCGUCUCUAUGGUCGUGGCGGCGCCCCUCAGGCCACGUGGUUCGCGCUGCUCCCCCUGCUGGCCGUUUCCGUUCCCCACGCGCUGCUCCCGGCUCUGCUGGCCGCUCUUUGGGCUGCGGCCACGUUGGGGGCGGCGGUGCUGAGAGCCGCACCGAGGCUGCCGCACGGAGACUGCGUGGAGGCGCUGCGUUCCGGCAGCGGAGCGGUGGUGGCCACCGUGGUGGCUUUGGUGGCCAUCGUGUCGUCCCGCAGCGUCUUGGCCGCCAUCACCUUCAGCCUAGCUUUGGGUCUGGCUCUGCUUUACGCCUACGACGCCUUCGGAACCAUUCGGACCCGACUGGGGCAGCCCCACGACCCACAAGUGAACGGGACCUGAGCGACAUCCGGACCCCCGACUCUGCCCCAUAGAAUCCCUGCCUUCUGCCCCAUAGAUUUCUGCCCCAUAGAUCUGUGCGCCCCAUAGAUCCGCCCCAUAGAUUCUGCCCCAUAGAUUCGCCCCAUAGAUUUCUGUCCUAUAGAUUCACCCCAUAGAUUCUGCCCCAUAGAUCUGUGCAUCCCAUAGAUCCGCCCCAUAGAUUCUGCCCCAUAGAUUUCUGCCCCAUAGAUCCGCCCCAUAGAUUCUGCCCCAUAGAUUUGCCCCAUAGAUUCUGCCCCAUAGAUUCUGCCCCAUAGAUCUCUGCCCCAUAGAUCUGUGUGCCCCAUAGAUUCCGCCCCAUAGAUUCCACCCCAUAGAUCUCUGCCCCAUAGAUCUCUGCCCCAUAGAUUCCACCCCAUAGAUUCUGCCCCAUAGAUCCGCCCCAUAGAUCUGUGCGCCCCAUAGAUUCUGCCCCAUAGAUCCGCCCCAUAGAUUUGUGUGCCCCAUAGAUUCACCCCAUAGAU
rnacentral:lncRNA from 1 species